rnacentral:misc_RNA from 1 species
CUGAGUUUUGGGUGCUUCUUUGGAAAAGCCCGAUCUCCCACCCUUUGUUUAAUUACAAUUGUUGCUUUGGCAGGACUGUUUUUCUUCCCUUGUGGGGAGAGAACUGCCGGAGAGGGUUGUGUAAAUACACCCCCUCUGGAUCGUCUGCCUGCCAGUAGCCAACUUCAAAUUCUUUUUUUUAAUUAUGUCGUCUGAAUUCUUUAAAUAAAUUUUUAUUUA